rnacentral:tRNA from 1 species
GCACUGGUGGUUCAAUGGUAGAAUUUUCACCUUUCAUGCGGGAGACCCAGGUUCGAGUCCCCGCCAAUGUG